rnacentral:rRNA from 1 species
AAUCAACGCUGGCGGCGUGCCUCAGACAUGCAAGUCGAACGAUUAAAGCUCUCUUCGGAGAGUGCAUAGAGUGGCGCACGGGUGAGUAACACGUAAGUAAUCUACCCUCGAGUGGGGAAUAACGUCCGGAAACGGGCGCUAAUACCGCAUAAUGCAGCGGCAUCAUAAGAUGACAGUUGUUAAAGAUUUAUCGCUUGAGGAGGAGCUUGCGGCAGAUUAGCUAGUUGGUAAGGUAACGGCUUACCAAGGCUACGAUCUGUAACCGGUCUUAGAGGACGGUCGGUCACACUGACACUGAAUAACGGGUCAGACUCCUACGGGAGGCAGCAGUCGGGAAUUUUGGGCAAUGGGCGAAAGCCUGACCCAGCAACGCCGCGUGAAGGAUGAAGUAUUUCGGUAUGUAAACUUCGAAAGAAUAGGAAGAAUUAAUGACGGUGCUAUUUAUAAGGUCCGGCUAACUACGUGCCAGCCGCCGCCGUAAAAC